AAUAUUGCACAAUGGAGGGAACUCUGAUGCAGCAACGCCGCGUGAGUGAAGAAGGUUUUCGGAUCGCAAAACUCUGUCAUUGGGGAGGAAUAAAUGACGGUACCCAACGAGGAAGCACCGGCUAACUCUGUGCCAGCAGCCGCGGUAAUACAGAGGGUGCAAGCGUUAAUCGGAAUUACUGGGCGUAAAGGGUACGUAGGCGGCUAUAUAAGUCAGGUGUGAAAUACCAGUGCUUAACACUGGAAUUGCAUUUGAAACUGUGUAGCUUGAGUGCAGGAGAGGAAAGUGGAAUUCCUAGUGUAGCGGUGAAAUGCGUAGAGAUUAGGAGGAACACCAGUGGCGAAGGCGACUUUCUGGACUGAUACUGACACUGAGGUGCGAAAGCGUGGGGAGCAAACA
rnacentral:rRNA from 1 species